GACGAACGCUGGCGGCGUGCCUAAUACAUGCAAGUCGAGCGGACGGAUGGGAGCUUGCUCCCAGACCGUCAGCGGCGGACGAGUGAGUAACACGUGGGCAACCUGCCUGUAAGACUGGGAUAACUCCGGGAAACCGGGGCUAAUACCGGAUAACUCUUUCCCUCACAUGAGGGAAAGCUGAAAGAUGGCAUCUCGCUAUCACUUACAGAUGGGCCCGCGGCGCAUUAGCUAGUUGGUGAGGUAACGGCUCACCAAGGCGACGAUGCGUAGCCGACCUGAGAGGGUGAUCGGCCACACGGGGACUGAGACACGGCCCAGACUCCUACGGGAGGCAGCAGUAGGGAAUCUUCCGCAAUGGACGAAAGUCUGACGGAGCAACGCCGCGUGAGUGAUGAAGGUUUUCGGAUCGUAAAACUCUGUUGUCAGGGAAGAACAAGUACCGGAGUAACUGCCGGUACCUUGACGGUACCUGACCAGAAAGCCACGGCUAACUACGUG
rnacentral:rRNA from 1 species